AUGGCAUCACAAACUCAACGGACAUGAGUUUGAGCAAACUCCAGGAGACGGUGAAGGACAGGGAAGCCUGGCAUUCAUGGGUCACAAAGAGCUGGACGCGACUUAGUGACUGAACAAUAACAACCUUACUCAAAAUUCAUACAAAACAGAUAGAUGAAGCAAUUUAAACUUGAGAUUCAAUAAUUUCAUCCUUAUUUUUUCCACUGUGGUACAUCACAGAUCAAGAUCAACUGAAAGAAGUAACAAAUUCCAAGGCACACCGUAUGGAAGACUUGAAGUAGGGUAGGUGCAGUGAAACAUAAAACAAAGAACAGUUCAUCUAUUCAUGGGACGGAUGACAUUUCAUAUUCAGAAGAAAGAGAAUAAGUACAGUAAAUUGAUGAAUGACAUCUCAAUCUUUUUCUCACAUUUAUUUUUUUAAAAAGAAAACAAUUUCCACAAGUUGCUUGCAGUUGAUGUCACCUUAGCACAAAAAAUUUCCCCCUUACAACUCUUCUCAGAAAUUACUCUGUACAUCUCUCUGAAGCUUUUAUUCUCUCAGUCAGAUUCUUCUUGACAGAUAUUCUCCUAGAAGCAGCAUUAAUGAUGCCAAUAUACUCUAGGUGUUCCACACAGAAAAAGAUGUUGCUGCACAAAUGCUCUUUCAUAUUGUCUGACACUAUUAAUUCUGGAAAACUCUACUGGUCAGUUCUUUGAUCUAUAAUCCUUUCAGAAAUUUGAGGAUCAAAGACAUGAUUAUACCUUUGAAAUUUGUUGAAUAUCUCUUUUGGCAAUUGAUUUGCUUUAUGACCUUCAAUAGUCACUGAAUUCUCUGGCCCUUGUUUUCUGCAUUGUUAAAAGAAAGUUGGAUUAGGUAUUCCAAAGUUUUUUUUAGAGCUUAAAUUGUCUAACUUAUUAGGAUUCAUCACUGUCAAAUACCUGAAAGUUUCAAACAACUAAUUUUGUAUUUGUUGAUUUUAACAAAAUACCAAGGCAUAUAAAAUAGAAUUGUAAAAUUGCAGUAAUAUGUACUAUGGUAUAUUAAGUAAGAUAAACUCAGUUUUGUUUGAACCUAUUCAUUUCAAUUUGAUGUAAUAUUAUAGUAAUUAAUAUUUGGUUUUCAUUUGACAGUGUAACAUAUUCAAAGUUUAAGGCACUAGAAGUGUUCUAGGAGGUAUAUAUGAGAAAUGUAUGGCUACCUCUUGGCUAAAAACCAUCUAAAUCAGUAACACCAAUAGGGAAACCCAAAAUAAUUAACAGCAACAAAACUUAACAAAAUAAAUUUCAAAACAAA